rnacentral:misc_RNA from 1 species
GAGCAUUGCAGGGAUGUGUCACAUUUAGUUGAAAUUCUGGGCAUCUAAGCAAUUCCUUGUUAAAUUAUUAUCUAACCUUUUAUCUUUUACCCCUUUUUGGGAGAAGUUACAAGUGAUGCAUUAACAAAAAAGUGCCUAGUGAGCCAUAAAAUUGCUAUCCACACAAUUAAGUAUACCCCCCAUGAAAAGGCCAUAUUACACUUUUCUUUUCAAUAAAAUAAAAGCAAUAGAUGUACAAUUUUAAUGUUAAAAAUGGAAAGAAACAUCAAAUUGGCAUACAGUUUAAAGUAAACUCAAUUUUCACAUCUCCAAAACAAAACUUUA